ACCCGCCCCAUUACCGGGUGGUUCUGUCACUAGACAUAGGCCGGACUCUCCCGCGUGCCUGUGUGACCUUGACUUUGUGCCAGGUCUGAGGAUGCCCUCCGUCGUCACCCCUUAAAACGCGUUACCCCCUUUGGGACUGCGUCGUUGCGGCGCACCUCCUACUUCAGGAAGCCCUGCAUUUGAGGAAAGCUAGCCCUGCUAUUACUGCCAUGGCUCUCUUCUUCGGGGCCGAUUGAAGCACGGUCGUCGGCGCCAUUAUGCUCCCCCCGCUCGCAACAAGCCUUAAUAACCCGCAUUUCCCACGCAUCCGCCAAACCAUUCAGACUACACUUUAGAUACCCGAGUUGAGUAUCAGACGUAGCCUUUGACGGCCCGAACUCAUACCCUCUCCACUCACCUUAAGGACCACAUCGCCACUUUACGCAUCUAUAGUCCUCCUUGUGGACACCGCUUUCGCCGAGUGACCUGGUAUUGACUGCGACUACGUGCUUUCGAUCCCCUCGUUUGUCCUAAUCUAUGGGACCAUCAGGAUCGGGAUUUGCUACUGACGAACCACACUGCCCAUGGGUUAGGGCGGCACGGCAUCGAUUGCGCAAUUCGUCAGGCG
rnacentral:rRNA from 1 species